ensembl:lncRNA
GUCGGGUCUGAAGGUUUAGUUUGGGGUUCUGUAGCCUUUGUUAGCAUCGGUUCACAGAUUUAAAAGUUUUCUGCAAGAUUCUUAGAUUUAUUUUGUAUGUUUGCUGUCGGUGCCACCAGAGUUUGUGCCUCAGUUUACUGCUGGAAUAUUUAUCAGUUUACACAUCUUAUUUAUAGGUUUAUAGUCUGUUUGUCAGCACUAACAUGUAGUGUUAAUGAUUAAGAAAUAGCGUCUAUGCAAAUGUAAAUAUGUGGUCGCCUGAGUUCUAGAGGUCUGAGGGCUGAACUACGGAGCUGAAUUAAUAAAUCCAAACUUUCUUUGAGUUAGUUGGAUCAACAAAACCUAAAAGUCAGAAAUGAAGAGCAAAACUUUAUUUGUUCAGCAGGUUUCCUUCUUUGGGAACAGGUUGUUCUAAUGGAGAUGCAUGAAGAAUAAUUCUUUUUUAAUGGUAAAAAUCAGGACUGAUGCUGCGAAUGUUGCCAGAGAUUAAUGCUGUAAGUUAAUAAAGUGACUCUCAGCUGCACAUUGAAGCUCAGAAUCUUUAAACUUCUUCAUUUAAACUGUUUGAUACUGUCCCAGAGGAAGGAGACGAGGAAAUCAAUUUAGUUGCUGAACAAAUCCAGGCGAAAUCAAUGUUUCUGAUUGAUAAAUACCAACACUGAUCAGUUGUCUGAUCUGUGUUCAAAUCAGGACCAGACAGAAAAACAUUUGUGUUUAAAAUCUCAGAUUAUGAACAGAACCUCGUCUGGAGCAGGUUGGCUCCACAGCAUCAGUUACCAUGGUGAUCUGGCUCCACAGCAUCAGUUACCAUGAAGAUCUGGCUCCACAGCAUCAGUUACCAUGACGAUCUAGCUGUACAGCAUCAGUUACCAUGGAGAUGUAGCUGGUUUAUGACAUUGAAACUCUGACUUUAGCCUCAUCUAACCUGCUAACUCGGUGUUCCUGCUUCGUAGCUCUGCCCUCUGAUUCCAGAAACAGAUCCAGGAUAAAGCGGGAGAAAUAAUCAGGUGAAGUUUACAGACGACACAUUAAAUCCUGUUUAGUGUGAAUAGAUUUAGAUUCUAACUCUGAUCCUGUGAGAGAGUCUGAUUUGUUUUUGAUGCCUAAAAGCGACUCAAUCAUCUGACAGAAGUCUGAAGAAGUCGAAGCUGCACUGACCGUUGUUGGAGAAACGCUGCCUGCUCGGGUUUACUGACUACAAUAUCGACAAGCUGUUUAUCCCCUAUAGUAAACGCUGGUGAUGAAAAUCAAACCAGAAUUUAAUAUUUAAAGGAUCCUCACUGAGUCGUCACUAAUGGAAAACCUGUCCUCUUUGUUUGCUUUGCUUGAUUUAUCUGCUGCAUUCCAGCCGAUGCUGUUUGUCAUGAAAUGUGUGCAUGGCACGCCCAAUAAAGUUUUUUAAAGUCUG